rnacentral:rRNA from 1 species
GUAGGGUGCAAGCGUUAAUCGGAAUUACUGGGCGUAAAGCGUGCGCAGGCGGUUUCGUAAGUCUGUCGUGAAAUCCCCGGGCUUAACCUGGGAAUGGCGAUGGAGACUGCGAGGCUAGAGUUUGGCAGAGGGGGGUAGAAUUCCACGUGUAGCAGUGAAAUGCGUAGAGAUGUGGAGGAACACCGAUGGCGAAGGCAGCCCCCUGGGUCAAAACUGACGCUCAUGCACGAAAGCGUGGGGAGCAAACAGGAUUAGAUACCCUGGUAGUCCACGCCCUAAACGAUGUCUACUAGUUGUUGGGUCUUAAUUGACUUAGUAACGCAGCUAACGCGUGAAGUAGACCGCCUGGGGAGUACGGUCGCA